UGUGUGUGUGUGUGUGUGUGUGUGUGUGUGUGUGUGUGUGUGUGUUGUGUGCACGCGCACGCACACAUGCACACG
rnacentral:miRNA from 1 species